GCUAAUACCGCGUAAUAUCGAGAGAUUAAAGGGUGGGACUUUCGGGCCACCUGCCAUAAGAUGAGCCCAAGUGGGAUUAGGUAGUUGGUGGGGUAAAGGCCUACCAAGCCUACGAUCUCUAGCUGGUCUGAGAGGAUGGCCAGCCACACUGGAACUGAGACACGGUCCAGACUCCUACGGGAGGCAGCAGUGGGGAAUAUUGCACAAUGGGGGGAACCCUGAUGCAGCCAUGCCGCGUGAAUGAAGAAGGCCUUCGGGUUGUAAAGUUCUUUCGGUGAUGAGGAAGGUGUUUUGUUUAAUAGACAAAGCAAUUGACGUUAGUCACAGAAGAAGCACCGGCUAACUCCGUGCCAGCAGCCGCGGUAAUACGGAGGGUGCGAGCGUUAAUCGGAAUAACUGGGCGUAAAGGGCACGCAGGCGGAUUGUUAAGUGAGAUGUGAAAGCCCCGGGCUUAACCUGGGAAUUGCAUUUCAGACUGGCAGUCUAGAGUAUUUUAGGGAGGGGUAGAAUUCCACGUGUAGCGGUGAAAUGCGUAGAGAUGUGGAGGAAUACCGAAGGCGAAGGCAGCCCCUUGGGAAUAUACUGACGCUCAUGUGCGAAAGCGUGGGGAGCAAACAGGAUUAGAUACCCUGGUAGUCCACGCUGUAAACGAUGUUGAUUUGGGGAUUGGGCUUUAAGCUUGGUGCCCGUAGCUAACGUGAUAAAUCAACCGCCUGGGGAGUACGGCCGCAAGGUUAAAACUCAAAUGAAUUGACGGGGGCCCGCACAAGCGGUGGAGCAUGUGGUUUAAUUCGAUGCA
rnacentral:rRNA from 1 species